GCCCCCGUAGCUCAGGCGGAUAGAGCACAAGAUUCCUAAUCUUGGUGCCACAGGUUCGAGUCCUGUCGGGGGCACCA
rnacentral:tRNA from 1 species